AUAUUGUUUUCCUUUUGAUUCCAGAUUUAUUGCCGGUAAAGGUUUUCUUGGUUUACCCUAUAGGGCUUUGUAGUUUGGUUAGAGCGCGCGCUUUGAUUGAGGUCCGGAGGUUCCAAGUCCUCCCAGGCCCACCAGUUACACGAUGCUAAAAGUUUGCUAUAUUUGGGAGAGUUUGAUAAUCCCUUACAGGAAAUUAUUUGCCCUUAAUAAAACUUUAUUUUUCUAAAAGCAUUUCAGAGCUGACAUAGAAUAGAGCUGACAUAGAAUUUGAGAAUCUGACAUAGGAAUUAUUUUUUGUUUUUGGAAUUUAUUUGAAAUUUGUUUUUCUAUCAUUAAAAGGCUAAAAUAUUUCUGUCUCUAUUUUUUAAAAUAGCAUCAGGUGUUUUUGUAAGAGUGUGAAGUUUUUAAGUGUGAGGUUUUUUUAUAUUUUUAGUGUGAGGUUUUUUAUAAGGGUAUGACGUGAGAGCGUUUUUGACCCUGUUUUUAGGGGCCGUAGCUCAGCUGGGAGAGCACCUGCUUUUGCAAGCAG
rnacentral:misc_RNA from 1 species